GAUGAAGAACGUAGCGAAAUGCGAUAAGUAAUGUGAAUUGCAGAAUUCAGUGAAUCAUCGAAUCUUUGAACGCACAUUGCGCCCACCAGUAUUCUGGCGGGCAUGCCUGUUCGAGCGUCAUUUCCACCAUCAGGCCCCCGGGCCUGUGUUGGGGACCUGCGGCUGCCCGCAGGCCCCGAAAUUCAGUGGCGGUCGCGCCGUAGCAACCGAGCGUAGUAACUAAAACGUCUCGCUCUGGCUCGCUGGGCGCGCUCCGGCCGUAAAACACCCCCCCUUUUCGCAAAGGUUGACCUCGGAUCAGGUAGGAAUACCCGCUGAACUUAAGCAUAUCAAUAAGCGGAGGA
rnacentral:misc_RNA from 1 species